CCUGCCCCGCGCGGCGGGAGUGGUUGGAGCCGGAGGGCGGGUCUGUGCCUGGCCGAGGGUGUCCGUCGGCGUCACUCACCGUCCUCGGCCCGCCUCUGCGUCCACUAGGUGCGGCCUGAGAGAGGCCCGCACGCGGGCUCGAGCCGCGUGGAACGCACCUAGAGCUGCAUUCCAUGUAUUCCUUGGCUUUUGGUCCUUUCCUCCAUCAUCAAGUAACUGGAGGUGUGAGGUGAGACUCACCUGACAGCUGAGAGCCUGGCCAGGAGAUCCACGCUGCAGAGGCCAAUGCUGGGCAUCCCCUCCCCUCUUCAACCAGGCAGUUGCCCUGGGCCACCUGGUGGCCUGAAAUAACGACCAAAAGAACUCACGAAGCAUUUAACCAAGACUCUACAUGUUGACUUUUCAGCCAAGGACACUUCAGUGACUGGCCGCAGUUCUCCGAAGGAAGCUGCUGCCAGUUGCCCCUGGGGGGUUAUUUCCUUCUUGGACAUCAUGACCACAAUGGCAGAAAUGCAUUGAUGGCCAGCACUCUGGGGAUGAAUGUUUUUGAGGGGAAAUUAAACAUACCAAACUGGUUAAAGACAAAAAUGCAGAGUUGGACAAGUUCUGCAGGUCAUGAAGGGCCUUUGAAGCAGCCAGGCCCGGUUCCUGCUCUGCUGUAUGGGAGGCUGCUGGCCUAAGCUGGAGAGCAGAAAGGCCCAGUGCCAAGAGUUCAGCAAGUACCGGUCCCAGGCCAGGCAUUUGCUAAUAAGCCAGGGUGACAGUAAGGACAAGGGGACUCUGGUGUGAUGUGAGGUUUCUCAGCCUCACUUGUUACACGUGUGAUAAUUGCACAACCCUCCUGUCCCCUCCAGGCCUGUGUGAGACAGGAAAGGUGAGGCUGCCCCUCCCUCUGCACCUUAAAGCCACUCGGGGUCUGGGUUUUCCUGAGACUUCGGGAGCCAGAUGCAGACUCCCAAAGGCACUGAUCCUUCCUCGAUCUCCCUCCCUCAAGAGUGGCACUAAUCAGGUCUAAUUUAGAGAAAAUCCAUCACCUCCCCCCACUGUGGGCUCUGCCACUUCAUGCCUUGGUCUCUCCACCUAUCAGCCAGCUGGAGCUUGGGACUCAAGGAGGCAUGCUUGGAAGUAGGGAACUUCUGUGAGUAUGAGGACAUCUGGGUGGUGCUGAACACCAGCAUGCUUUGCCCCGUGGCCUGGACUGUGCACAGGGCACCUAGACUGACCUGUCACCUCCCACGCAGGUGGAAGGGUGUGAGACAGCAUGGGCACUCAGUUACAAACAUCCCCUUCCCAAACACUUGUGGAUCGAAGUCUGAGGCUACUCCUUCCAGGUGAGGGUUGGCUGGCUGCUGUUGUAGCUUGUUAUUCUCUUUCUGUCCCUUCUGCCCUCAGGUCUUGACCAUGCAGCUUCCAAGAACAGGAUGGGGAAUGAUAUGGGCGCCUGGGGAGGCGAGCAGCCAUGGGCCUCACCUGCUCAUGGGCACUGACGGUCCCAACAGCAGGUGGACAUGAGUCUAACCCACAGACACCAGAGUAGAGGGAGCUGGGCUCCCUGAGUCUGGAUGGGGUUCUCACAGGCCCCCACAGGGAGACAAGGAAGCUUUCUCCAGAAUGUAGAGUAUGGACUCACUGUGUGAAUAAAGUAAAUGAGCUGGGUGGAGGGGGGCGGGCAAGAUUUCAAAAAGCACCACUCAUACACCCAGGACUGGCAAAGCUGCUGGCAGUAAGCUCUAUCAUGGGGCUCCCCCACUGCAGGUGAGCUGACUGGCCUUAGCUGGCACCAUCCAUGCUCAGUGUUUGCCCUGAGGACAAGAAGACCUGGCAGAAAAGAGGAAAGUACAGAACGCGCUCCCACCUGGCUGGUGGGGAUAUAGACGGUGCAGCUGCCGUGGAAACCUUCAGCUCCACAGAAAGCAGAAUGCACCCAUGCCACAGUGCUCCUGCCUGCAGCCUGCCAGGCGUCGGCCCACCCUGCAACAUCCAGGAUGUCAUUUCAGCCCUGGUCACACGAAAGCACUGCAUGGGAUGAAGGUGUCCUUAUGAAGGAGGCAAAGGGAGUUCUGACACGGAGAAGAGGAGGCCGUGUGAAGAUGGAGGCUGAUAUUGGAGUGAUGCAGCCACACUCCAAGGAACACCUGGAGCCACCAGAAGCCAGAAGAGGCAAGACCCCCACCCAGAGCCGUCAGAGAGCACAGUACUGCCGACGCCGACACCUUGAUUUCAGACUUCUGGCUUCUAGGACUGUGAGAAUAAAUUUCUGUUGUUUUAAACUGC